AUACUGAUGAUGAGUCCCAAAUUAGGACGAAACAGCUGUCCAGUAC
rnacentral:hammerhead_ribozyme from 1 species